AAUUCUGUGAUGUUGACGUUCUCUUUGUAACUCCUUAAACCUCUCUCAAGUUUCAUAUAAGAAUUCACCUUCCUGUUGAUGAAAACUAGUUACAUCUAUGCGUAAUU